UACAGAGGUGGCAAGCGUUGUUCGGAAUUACUGGGCGUAAAGGGCGCGUAGGCGGCCUUCUAAGUCAGACGUGAAAUCCCCAGGCUUAACUUGGGAACUGCGUCUGAUACUGGGAGGCUUGAGUGCGGGAGAGGGAUGUGGAAUUCCAGGUGUAGCGGUGAAAUGCGUAGAUAUCUGGAGGAACACCGGUGGCGAAGGCGACUACCUGGCCUGUUCUUGACGCUGAGGCGCGAAAGCUAGGGGAGCAAACGGG
rnacentral:rRNA from 1 species